rnacentral:rRNA from 1 species
CCCUUAGAUGUCCGGGGCCGCACGCGCGCUACACUGAAGGAAUCAGCGUGGCUUUCUCCCUGACCCGAAAGGGUUGGGAAACCCGUUGAAUCUCCUUCGUGAUAGGGAUUGGGGCUUGAAAUUGUUCCCCAUGAACGAGGAAUUCCCAGUAAGCGCGAGUCAUAAGCUCGCAUUGAUUACGUCCCUGCCCUUUGUACACACCGCCCGUCGCACCUACCGAUUGGAUGGUCCGGUGAAGCCUCGGGAUUGUGGUUCUUGCCGCUUUAUUGUGGCGUGACCGCGAGAACUUGUCUAAACCUUAUCAUCUAGAGGAAGGUGAAGUCGUAACA